rnacentral:misc_RNA from 1 species
GAUGAAGAACGUAGCGAAAUGCGAUAAGUAGUGUGAAUUGCAGAAUUUAGUGAAUCAUCGAAUCUUUGAACGCACAUUGCGCCCUAUAGUAUUCUGUAGGGCAUGCCUGUUCGAGCGUUAUUGAGACCUCAAGCUCUGCUUGGAAAUGGGCGCUUGUCUUGCCUUGCAGACUCGCCUUAAAACCAUUGGCAGCUGAUUUACAAUGUUUGGUGCACAGUACAUGAGCCCAAGUGUUGCAAUGAGUGGCCCAAAAGUAUACAAUAGAAGCUUAACCUCGGAUCAGGUAGGGAUACCCGCUGAACUUAAGCAUAUCAAUAGCGGAGGA